GACGAACGCUGGCGGCGUGCUUAACACAUGCAAGUCGAACGGAAAGGCCCUGCUUUUGUGGGGUGCUCGAGUGGCGAGCGGGUGAGUAACACGUGAGUAACCUGCCCUUGACUUUGGGAUAACUUCAGGAAACUGGGGCUAAUACCGGAUAGGAGCUCCUGCUGCAUGGUGGGGGUUGGAAAGUUUCGGCGGUUGGGGAUGGACUCGCGGCUUUUCAGCUUGUUGGUGGGGUAGUGGCUUACCAAGGCUUUGACGGGUAGCCGGCCUGAGAGGGUGACCGGCCACAUUGGGACUGAGAUACGGCCCAGACUCCUACGGGAGGCAGCAGUGGGGAAUAUUGCACAAUGGGCGGAAGCCUGAUGCAGCAACGCCGCGUGCGGGAUGACGGCCUUCGGGUUGUAAACCGCUUUCGCCUGUGACGAAGCGUGAGUGACGGUAAUGGGUAAAGAAGCACCGGCUAACUACGUG
rnacentral:rRNA from 1 species